rnacentral:rRNA from 1 species
UUGUUAGCCAAGGACGCGGUGAGACACGCCAGUCGAGCGGAACGAGUUAACUGAACCUUCGGGGGAUGGUAACGGCGUCGAGCGGCGGACGGGUGAGUAAUGCCUAGGAAGUUGCCCAGUAGAGGGGGAUAACCAUUGGAAACGAUGGCUAAUACCGCAUAACCUCUUCGGAGCAAAGCAGGGGACCUUCGGGCCUUGCGCUAUUGGAUACGCCUAGGUGGGAUUAGCUAGUUGGUGAGGUAAUGGCUCACCAAGGCGACGAUCCCUAGCUGGUCUGAGAGGAUGAUCAGCCACACUGGAACUGAGACACGGUCCAGACUCCUACGGGAGGCAGCAGUGGGGAAUAUUGCACAAUGGGCGAAAGCCUGAUGCAGCCAUGCCGCGUGUGUGAAGAAGGCCUUCGGGUUGUAAAGCACUUUCAGCAGUGAGGAAGGCAUUAAGAUUAAUACUCUUAGUGUUUGACGUUAGCUGCAGAAGAAGCACCGGCUAACUCCGUGCCAGCAGCCGCGGUAAUACGGAGGGUGCGAGCGUUAAUCGGAAUUACUGGGCGUAAAGCGCAUGCAGGUGGUGGAUUAAGUCAGAUGUGAAAGCCCGGGGCUCAACCUCGGAACUGCAUUUGAAACUGGUUCACUAGAGUACUGUAGAGGGGGGUAGAAUUUCAGGUGUAGCGGUGAAAUGCGUAGAGAUCUGAAGGAAUACCGGUGGCGAAGGCGGCCCCCUGACAGAUACUGACACUCAGAUGCGAAAGCGUGGGGAGCAAACAGGAUUAGAUACCCUGUAGUCCACGCGUAAACGAUGUCUACUUGGAGGUUGUGGCCUUGAGCCGUGCUUUCGGAGCUAACGCGUUAAGUAGACCGCCUGGGGAGUACGGUCGCAAGAUUAAAACUCAAAUGAAUUGACGGGGGCCCGCACAAGCCGUGCAGCAUGUGUUUUAUUUCGAUGCAACGCGAAGAACCUUACCCUACUCUGACAUCCAGAGUACCUUGCAGAGAUGGAUGGUGCAUUCGGAACUCUGGAGAACAGGUAGCUGCAUGCUGUCGUCAGCUCGUGAAUGUGCAAAUGAUAGGCUAGUUCCCCGAUACCGGAGCGCAGCCUGAUCCUGUAUGGCCAAUGCGAGUAAUGUGCGGUAACUUCCAGGGAGAACUUG